rnacentral:lncRNA from 1 species
GGUGAAUGAAAUCAGCAAGGGGGAAGCCAUAGUUAGGGUUUUUAAGCUUCCAAGCUCAAUAGUAAGUGAUUCCAAGCCCCGUUUUUAAUGUUCUUUACGUUUUUAGAGUCCCGGUAACUUAAUUUAGCUUAUUCUAGCAAUAAUUUAACCUAGGAUUUAUAUUUGGAAAAAUACCCAUAGAUGAAAAGUGUUUAUUUUGCUAUUUUAUGGUGUAAUAUGUAGCUAGAAAUUAUGUUAAACAACUUUUGCUAAGCGAUUUUAAACGAAAACGGGUAAAUUGACAUAAUCGAUAAAAAUACCUAAUGUUCAAAAGUGUGUCUUAGAGUGAGGAUUUGAUGUUGUCAUAGAAGGGAAAAAUGUUCAGCAUGUCAUAAAACAUAAGAAUAAGAGAUGAAUUUUAAUUUUCGAGCUUAGAGAUAAAAGUGUAAAUAUGUAAAAGUUUGGGGCAAAAUUGUAAUUUUUCAAAAAAGUUGGGUGGAGGGCUAUUUUAUUAAAUGUGAACAUUAAAUGAGUUAAAUUUGCUAUUAUAGAUCAAGAAAGACGAGAAUACUACCUCAAACGGGGAAAAGAGAAGAUAGUGGAGUAAAUUACAAAAUUACGAUAUUUUGCGCUGAGAUAAGUAAACAUGUGAUUUAAUGCAUUAUUUUGAUAUUAUUCAAUAUAUGUUAGGAUUUAAUAGAACAUAGAAUAAAUAUUCGGCAAGAUCUUAAAAAUGUGGUUAAGUUGGGAAAGGUGGUAAAAUGUUGAAAAUAUGGGUUUCGGUUGAACACUCGAAAUAAGCCGGAGUACAUUGAAUAUAAAGGGGGUUGCUAAGUGUUGAUUCCCCCAAGGGGUUGCUAAGUCUGAUUCUCUGACUCAUUGGUGGUUGCUAAGUGCUGAUUUCACCGUAUCUUUGAAUAUAAAGGGGGUUGCUAAGUGCUGAUUCCCCGAUUCAUUGGUGGUUGCUAAGUGCUGAUCCCAACGUAUUUUAAAUGUGAAGGGGGUUGCUAAGUGCUGAUUCCCCCAAGGGAUUGCUAAGUGCUCAUUCCCCGAAUCAUUGGUGGUUGCUAAGUGCUGAUUCCACCAUAUCUUUGAAUGUGAAAGGGGUUGCUAAGUUCUGAUUCCCUGAAUCACUGGUGGUUGCUAAGUGCUAAAUCCACCGAUAACGAUUAACAUUCUGAGUGUUCAACGAGUAAAUUGGGAAGGUGAAUAUUUAUAUGUGGUGGACAAGUUUAUGGGAGGAAUAUUGGGUUUGAUACUUAAUCAACCCAUGUAUAAGAUGGGAGGAAAUAUCAAAAAUACAAAAGAAACAAUUUAAAUACAAAACUGUUUUGAACAACAGUAGUUGGGAAACUUUGAAAAAUCACCAUAAACGGUGGAAAAUUAAUUAGAGGUUGAAUAAUAUAUGAAAUUGAAGCUGAAUGAGUCUAUUUUCAUAUGAAAGAAACAGAGAAAGCAAAAGAGUUGUAUAUUUGGGGAUAUUUGAAUUUAUUUGAGACAGGGUUGGAUUGAUUUCGAAAUCCCCUGUUCCAACUUUGGAAAAUGACCAAAAAUUGUAAAAAAAUAAUUAUGGCCUAAAAUUUAUAUUCCUGGAUUCCUUAAUGAGUCUAUUUUUAAUAGAAACAAACAAUAACAUUUUUUUAAAUUUUUUACAGGGAGUUAAUUAAAUUUUAGUAAAGGGAGGUCAGAACCAUCGGGUAGUGAAAUAGGGGAAUCUUUAAAAAAUAAACUGUAAUAAUGGGCUAAAUAAAAAAUUCUGAAAAUUUUAUGGUUGAAAUGUAUAUGAGUCUAGUUUUGGGGAAAAUUUACGGAACUUAAUUUGGAGUCUUGUAGCUCCAGAUAAAAAUAAAUUAGCAUCUGUGAUGCAGAAAGACAGUUUGCUGGAAAUUAAACGAACCUUGAAAUUUAUGUAUGAUUAAAAUUAUGUUACUAUGUAAUCAUGUGAGGAAUUUAUUUAUUUUUCAUAUGUUUACUUACUAAGCUAUAUGCUUACUCGUUUUUAUUUUCCCUUGAUUAUAGUGACAUCAGCCAGCUCGGAAUUUGGACGAAGUCAGGAAAUCAUCCACACUAUCAUCAACUUUUUGGGUAUUUUGUAAUUAAUAUUUUUGAAAUAUGGCAUGUAUAGAUGACUUUAUGUGAUGUGGUAUAAGUAUAUAUAUAGUAUUGUUCGGUUUAAUAUGUUGGUGAUUAUUAAUGGAAAAAUUAUGUCUGAACAUAUAUCUGUAAUUGGUUGGAAAUAUUGAAGUUGUUUGAAAUUGUUUUUGAAAAGUUGCAGGGAGUUUUAUGUAAAAACAAGUAGAAAUGCUGCCGAAUUUU